AGUGAACGCUGGCGGUAGGCCUAACACAUGCAAGUCGAACGGCAGCACAGUAAGAGCUUGCUCUUACGGGUGGCGAGUGGCGGACGGGUGAGGAAUACAUCGGAAUCUACUUUUUCGUGGGGGUUAACGUAGGGAAACUUACGCUAAUACCGCAUACGACCUACGGGUGAAAGCAGGGGAUCUUCGGACCUUGCGGGAUUGAAUGAGCCGAUGUUGGAUUAGUUAGUUGGGGGGGUAAAGGCCCACCAAGGCGACGAUCCGUAGCUGGUCUGAGAGGAGGAUCGGCCACACUGGAACUGAGACACGGACCAGACUCCUACGGGAGGCAGCAGUGGGGAAUAUUGGACAAUGGGCGCAAGCCUGAUCCAGCCAUACCGCGUGGGUGAAGAAGGCCUUCGGGUUGUAAAGCCCUUUUGUUGGGAAAGAAAAGCAGCAGGUUAAUACCCCGCUGUUCUGACGGUACCCAAAGAAUAAGCACCGGCUAACUUCGUG
rnacentral:rRNA from 1 species